rnacentral:rRNA from 1 species
CCUACGGGAGGCAGCAGUGGGGAAUUUUGGACAAUGGGCGCAAGCCUGAUCCAGCCAUGCCGCGUGCAGGAUGAAGGCCUUCGGGUUGUAAACUGCUUUUGUACGGAACGAAAAAGCUCUCUCUAAUACAGGGGGUGAAUGACGGUACCGUAAGAAUAAGCACCGGCUAACUACGUGCCAGCAGCCGCGGUAAUACGUAGGGUGCAAGCGUUAAUCGGAAUUACUGGGCGUAAAGCGUGCGCAGGCGGUUAUGUAAGACAGAGGUGAAAUCCCCGGGCUCAACCUGGGAACUGCCUUUGUGACUGCAUAGCUGGAGUGCGGCAGAGGGGGAUGGAAUUCCGCGUGUAGCAGUGAAAUGCGUAGAUAUGCGGAGGAACACCGAUGGCGAAGGCAAUCCCCUGGGCCUGCACUGACGCUCAUGCACGAAAGCGUGGGGAGCAAACAGGAUUAGAUACCCUGGUAGUCCACGCCCUAAACGAUGUUAACUGGUUGUUGGGUCUUCACUGACUCAGUAACGAAGCUAACGCGUGAAGUUGACCGCCUGGGGAGUACGGCCGCAAGGUUAAAACUCAAAGGAA